CUUCACCAAAUCUAAACAGUCU
rnacentral:siRNA from 1 species